rnacentral:tRNA from 1 species
GCCCGGAUGGCGGAAUCGGUAGACGCCUUCGACUUAAAAUUGAAUUCCCGUAAGGGAGUGCGGGUUCGAGUCCCGCUCCGGGCA